rnacentral:misc_RNA from 1 species
GAUGAAGAACGCAGUGAAAUGCGAUAAGUAAUGUGAAUUGCAGAAUUCAGUGAAUCAUCGAAUCUUUGAACGCACAUUGCGCCCAUUAGUAUUCUAGUGGGCAUGCCUGUUCGAGCGUCAUUUCAACCCUUAAGCCUCUGUUGCUUAGCGUUGGGAGCCUACCUACCCGGUAGAUCCUCAAAGUUAGCUGGCAGGGUCGAGGUUCGCCCUAAGCGUAGUAGUUCUUUCUCGCUUCUGCGGCUGCCUAGGCCAUCGCCACAAGCCUUUUAAACUUCAAUGGUUGACCUCGGAUCAGGUAGGAAUACCCGCUGAACUUAAGCAUAUCAAUAAGCGGAGGA